GACGAUCUGAACUUUCAAGUUGAGUUUCAUUAUAUCUGAUUGGGAAAAUAAAGCAUCAUGGUCUAAGAAACAAAAUUCACAAACAUCGUAGGUUAAUCGAUGGUUUAUAACAUAUGGUUGAACUACUCUCAUAAUUAUUGUGAUAUAUGACUAUAUAUAUUAGUACACUUUUUAGCUCGAUCGGUUAGAAAUGUACUGUUUAAGUGUUUCUAAAUCUGAAUUUGAGUGUAAAAUUAAACCCUUUAACCAAAGAAAGGAAAAAAAUAAUAAUUAAGAAUUGAAGUUUAAAAUUCUAUGUAUGAGUAGGUAUGGUUACGCUUUGAAAAUAUUACAUCUGUCAUCAAAACUAAUACUGGUAUUAUGCGUAUAAAAACUAUGGACUAAACAUUUAUAGCUUGUGGUUGACAAAAAGCUGGUUUCUAUGUGAAAUUGUUUGGUUCAAGUAAUUCUUAUUUACGUACGUUCUUAGAAGUUUAUGAUCAUGCGUUUGAGAUGUAAAGGCAAACGUUUC
rnacentral:lncRNA from 1 species